UUUUUUUUAGUUCGGUUAGUUUAUACCGAAUAAGUCCAAAAUCAAGAUAAUGGGUCAAAACAAAAAUUAUAGAAUGGGCGAAGAUAAACAAAAUUUUAUAAUUACAAACCAAUAAUUGGGCCAAAACGAAAAACAAACUUAAACCCAAAAUAACUAAAAAUCCAAACCUAUUAAAAAUUAGGGUUGAUGGUAUCUUGGUGCCGCUACCCUCUUCAUAAUCAGCAGAUCUACGUCUGUGACGGUGACGGUGAUAGCGAGGGAUGACGAUAUCUCCGUAACGAAAUAUGCCCCGACGUGCUACCAUAGUGAAAACCACAUGCAGAUAGAGAGAAUUGACUAAAUAGCCAUGGAUGAGGAUCAAAAGGAAACGGAGAAGAAGCUAAAAAGAUUAGAUCUAAUGUUUUUAUCUUUAUAU
rnacentral:sRNA from 1 species